rnacentral:rRNA from 1 species
GACGUAGGGCGCGAGCGUUGUCCGGAUUUAUUGGGCGUAAAGAGCUCGUAGGUGGUUUGUCGCGUUGUCCGUGAAAACUCACAGCUUAACUGUGGGCGUGCGGGCGAUACGGGCAGACUGGAGUACUGCAGGGGAGACUGGAAUUCCUGGUGUAGCGGUGGAAUGCGCAGAUAUCAGGAGGAACACCGGUGGCGAAGGCGGCCUUCUGGACAGUGACUGACGCUGAGACGCGAAAGCGUGGGGAGCAAACAGG